AGUGAACGCUGGCGGUAGGCCUAACACAUGCAAGUCGAACGGCAGCACAGUAAGAGCUUGCUCUUACGGGUGGCGAGUGGCGGACGGGUGAGGAAUACAUCGGAAUCUACUUUUUCGUGGGGGAUAACGUAGGGAAACUUACGCUAAUAUCGCAUACGACCUACGGGUGAAAGCAGGGGGUCUUCGGACCUUGCGCGAUUGAAUGAGCCGAUGUCGGAUUAGCUAGUUGGCGGGGUAAAGGCCCACCAAGGCGACGAUCCGUAGCUGGUCUGAGAGGAUGAUCAGCCACACUGGAACUGAGACACGGUCCAGACUCCUACGGGAGGCAGCAGUGGGGAAUAUUGGACAAUGGGCGCAAGCCUGAUCCAGCCAUACCGCGUGGGUGAAGAAGGCCUUCGGGUUGUAAAGCCCUUUUGUUGGGAAAGAAAAGCAGCAGGUUAAUACCCCGCUGUUCUGACGGUACCCAAAGAAUAAGCACCGGCUAACUUCGUG
rnacentral:rRNA from 1 species